GCAGCAGCAUAAGUUAAAGGCUAUUUAAAUAUAGUCCUUAUUUUGUAACGUGGGCACUGUGCUCCCAUUUUCAAACUGCCAAUGAACCACUGGGAAUUUUCAUUCUCUUGCUGAUUCUCUUUAAGACCUCCAUGAACAGCAGAGAAAACAUUUCCACUGUAAUAAAAACAGGGGUUUGUUUUCCUUUUUUAAAACUGAGGCACUGGGUAAAAUAAAGGUCAUUGCAACAACAUUUGAAAGAACAAAAAGAGUAAUUUUCCCCCUUUUGCUUUUUUACUGGUUUUCGAUGCAAUGUGAAAAAUCAUUUUUAAGUUUGCCCAUCUGUUUUACAUAAAACCUUAGCUGACCUUACACAAAGUGAAACAAAUGCACAAAAAGCUUUGCUGUUGGGUUCUUGCCAGCAGGACAGAAGAGAAAGAAAAGAAUACAUAAAGUUAGAUCCUGCUCUUGUGUAGAUUAGCCUAGCUCCAGUGGGGACUUGUGUUGAUUUAUACCGGCAGAGGCUCAGGCUUGUAUUUCUUAUAAAAACCAGACUUGUCAGACCCAGUCUUGAAACACUGAAAUCAUCUGAAGUUUUGAUACUGAUUUUUGUGGGAAAAAAAGUACACUCACUGAAGGAGCCGUGCUUAUUACAGGUAAACAGCACAUAUCCGUAUAGUCAGCGUGUGCUAUUGGGCAAAGUGAACUGUAAGAACACAGUGUAAGUAACUCUUUGAGAUUUGUGGAUGAGCAGGUGUGGUUUAAGGCUUGAAUUGUACCUCAGCUUUGUAUGCUUUGUGUACAUGACUGAGUUUGAGCCUUGUCUGAGGAAGCUAAGGAGCUCAUUUCACAUCAGUCUUGAAGCAAAGGGAUUCUCAGAACACGCAGAGCUAAUCACAGCAGGGUCAUAGGAGGCAGAUACGUUUGCAGGACUGAUGCAGAGCUCCAUUGCUCGAGGUGGAUCCUGAGGAAUAGUUGCUAUUUAUUGCAGCCCAAUGUAUUGGAAUUCAAAACCAAGGAGAUCGAUCAUCCUCGCAUCAGAUCUGAGUUCCCUUCCCAAGCCAUAAUGGAUGACGACGGUAGUAGAAGUAAUAUAUUCAGAGGGACCAAAACAGGAUAACAAUUUUUCAGAAGCUGAAGAAAUAUAUGAGGGAAGAAGAGAGAUUGAUACAGCAGCAUUGGAACCAGCUUUGUCCUUGGAUUGCAAGGGAAUGGAGAAAUGAGGUGUCUUCACAGAUCUUUCUUAUGUGACCAAGUGGCAGAAAAUGCUGCAGAAAUCUACUUCAGACAGUUAAGUAUUCAGGUUACUGAAAGCUGUGUUUACUAUUUUUAUAUCUAUGGUUGUGAGCUAAGUAUUUUUUUUUUUUUUUUUUUUUUUGCCUGUUCACAUCCUUGCUGCCUGCAGAGCUUCCCAGUUGCUAGGCUGUGUUUAAUAUAUUAUUUUCCCAUUGAGACACCUAUGCUCCCUGUCACAUCUCUGUUGUCUCUUUUCAGUACUGUAUGAGCCCCAUCUCUGGCUUCUCUAAAUGUUAAAGACCUCUCUUCCAGUUAUUUAUACAGUAUUUAAAAUACGUCCCUUAGUAAUCUUGACUUCAUCAGCCUGACCCCUCUGAACCACCAUUCGCCCUUGGUUCAUCAAAUCAGGUUCAGCCUUCUUGCCUUUAGCUUAGGACAUUUUAAUUCUUUUUUUCUGCAUAAUGUCUGUUUCUGUCUCCUAUAUUGAGAUUUAUUAAAAUUAUUUAGCCAUUUUAAGAUGAAACCGUAUGUCUAGUUGAGUGUUCAAAAUCAGUGACUACCUAAUUCCCCCUGAGACUAACACUCAUUCAUUCUCCUCAUUAACUUAGCAAGAGGACUUAGAGUCCAGCAUUGCAGAUUGUCUCCAGGCUUUCAUGCCUGAACUUCUCUUUCACUGUUGGGGGCAUAGAUCCUUCCUCUUCUGAGGACAAAGAAAUUUGGUGUCAUCCAGUCUGUGGAGAAAGUUUGCUGCAACUUGGAAUGCUGUUCUACCAAACAAUUCCUUUCUUCCAUCUGCGACACAAUUUUUUAGGGUUUUCCGAUUAAUCCAAAUACUGAAGAUAUUAUAAAGCCACAGAAACUGCUUUAGGCCAAAGAUGGCAAUUACAGCUAAGAGCUAGAGCUAACUGAAAGGCUUCCUAUUUUUUAACAUUUUUCUGUGGCUUUUAAGAUCUUUUUGUGUCACUCUGGAAUGAAAACCAAGUGCACAAAGACUUUUGGCAAAAAUGGGACUUUGCAAAAUGUUCAUCUUUGGCUCCAGAAACCGUUUUUCUUCUACUCUCAUCUUCUAGGAAGCCUAUUGUAGAGCUUAGAAAUAAUCCUGUCAGAACUUCAUCAAAGCCAGUAUUUGUUUUCAAAAUGUUCUAGUUUUGGCAUAAUAUUAGUUGGAGAAGAAAGUAUUUAAUCCAAAAUUUUCUGACUAGUUCCAUAAAUGUCAUUACAUUAAUUAGGUACAUAAGUAACAGUAGCUGAAUUAGCUAUGUUUACACAUGUCUAGUCAUCUGAAAGAAUAUGAAGUCAGACAGGACUCAAGGGUUGGCUCAGUAAGUGUCAUAAAUUUUAGUAACCCCUGAUCUUGAUGCUCAGUAGAACACAUCUGUGAACAAAACUAAUUGAAACAUCAAGAAAAAGUCAAAACAAAUGAAAAGCAUUAGCAAAAAAAAAAAAAACAUUAUUAAUUUAGAGUAAUAUGUUAGGGUGAGUGGCAAAUUAAAUCGCUAUCCAAGUCCUGACACAGUUUUUUAUUUGAAACUAUAAUGUGAUUAUUGAUCAAAUGAAUUAAUUCUAUUUU
rnacentral:lncRNA from 1 species